rnacentral:rRNA from 1 species
GAUGAACGCUGGCGGCGUGCCUAACACAUGCAAGUCGAGCGAGAUUAUAUUUAAGGAAGCUUCGGUGGAAAUUUAUAUAUGACAGCGGCGGACGGGUGAGUAACGCGUGGGCAACCUGCCCUAUGGAGGGGGAUAACACAAAGAAAUUUGUGCUAAUACCGCAUAAGCGCACAGUAUCGCAUGAUACGGUGUGAAAAACUCCGGUGCCAUAGGAUGGACCCGCGUCUGAUUAGCUAGUUGGUGGGGUAAAGGCCUACCAAGGCGACGAUCAGUAGCCGACCUGAGAGGGUGAUCGGCCACAUUGGGACUGAGACACGGCCCAAACUCCUACGGGAGGCAGCAGUGGGGAAUAUUGCACAAUGGGGGAAACCCUGAUGCAGCGACGCCGCGUGAAGGAAGAAGGUCUUCGGAUCGUAAACUUCUAUCAGCAGGGAAGAUAGUGACUGUACCUGACUAAGAAGCCCCGGCUAACUACGUG